rnacentral:rRNA from 1 species
CAGUGAAAUUGAACUCGCUGUGAAGAUGCAGUGUACCCGCGGCAAGACGGAAAGACCCCGUGAACCUUUACUAUAGCUUGACACUGAACAUUGAGCCUUGAUGUGUAGGAUAGGUGGGAGGCUUUGAAGUGUGGACGCCAGUCUGCAUGGAGCCGACCUUGAAAUACCACCCUUUAAUGUUUGAUGUUCUAACGUUGGCCCGUAAUCCGGGUUGCGGACAGUGUCUGGUGGGUAGUUUGACUGGGGCGGUCUCCUCCUAAAGAGUAACGGAGGAGCACGAAGGUUGGCUAAUCCUGGUCGGACAUCAGGAGGUUAGUGCAAUGGCAUAAGCCAGCUUGACUGCGAGCGUGACGGCGCGAGCAGGUGCGAAAGCAGGUCAUAGUGAUCCGGUGGUUCUGAAUGGAAGGGCCAUCGCUCAACGGAUAAAAGGUACUCCGGGGAUAACAGGCUGAUACCGCCCAAGAGUUCAUAUCGACGGCGGUGUUUGGCACCUCGAUGUCGGCUCAUCACAUCCUGGGGCUGAAGUAGGUCCCAAGGGUAUGGCUGUUCGCCAUUUAAAGUGGUACGCGAGCUGGGUUUAGAACGUCGUGAGACAGUUCGGUCCCUAUCUGCCGUGGGCGCUGGAGAACUGAGGGGGGCUGCUCCUAGUACGAGAGGACCGGAGUGGACGCAUCACUGGUGUUCGGGUUGUCAUGCCAAUGGCACUGCCCGGUAGCUAAAUGCGGAAGAGAUAAGUGCUGAAAGCAUCUAAGCACGAAACUUGCCCCGAGAUG